rnacentral:lncRNA from 10 species
AAAACCACAAACUCCUUGUUUAAUAAGUGGGAUCACGUGCUUUUAACACGAGGAAAAGGUCAAUCUGAAGCAACUGAUAUGGAACUGCCAGAGUAGGUACGAAAGAAAAUUCAAAAAAUUCAAUGCUCUACUUUGUAACUCCCUGGACAUAAGUUGAAAAUCUUCCUAAACUGCUGGAGGAUACACCUCUGAUAGCUUGAGACAAAUAUCCUCUUGAUCAUUGUUUCACCAUAUUUGUCUUUGCUCAUGGAGAACCAUUUUGAUCCGUGGUUUAGCCUCCCAGGUGAUUGAACAAUACCGGUGAUCUGAGGCAGACCCUCUGUGACGGAUAACAGGAAAGAAAAUUGAGGAUCAGAAAAUACGCACAAUUUGCAAAAACCAUGGGAAAGAAUAUUGAUUGAACAUCUACUCAAGAACUGCAAAACAGAGAUUACCUGACCUAAAGGUGAAUCCAGGAUUCGGUGGUGCCUGUUCCAGGAAC